AAAGCCGUUCUCAGUUCGGAUUGUAGGCUGCAACUCGCCUACAUGAAGUCGGAAUCGCUAGUAAUCGCGGAUCAGCAUGCCGCGGUGAAUUACCGGUUCCCGGGCCUUGUACACACCCGCCCGCCACACCAUGAGAGUUUGUAACACCCAAAGCCGGUGGGGUAACCUUUUGGAGCCAGCCGUCUAAGGUGGGACAGAUGAUUGGGGUGAAGUCGUAACAAGGUACC
rnacentral:rRNA from 1 species